rnacentral:rRNA from 1 species
AACGAACGCUGGCGGCAUGCCUAACACAUGCAAGUCGAACGAUGUCUUUCGGGGCAUAGUGGCGCACGGGUGCGUAACGCGUGGGAAUCUGCCCUUGGGUUCGGAAUAACCGUUGGAAACGACGGCUAAUACCGGAUGAUGUCGAUAAGACCAAAGAUUUAUCGCCAGAGGAUGAGCCCGCGUAGGAUUAGCUAGUUGGUGUGGUAAGAGCGCACCAAGGCGACGAUCCUUAGCUGGUCUGAGAGGAUGAUCAGCCACACUGGGACUGAGACACGGCCCAGACUCCUACGGGAGGCAGCAGUGGGGAAUAUUGGACAAUGGGCGCAAGCCUGAUCCAGCAAUGCCGCGUGAGUGAUGAAGGCCUUAGGGUUGUAAAGCUCUUUUACCCGGGAUGAUAAUGACAGUACCGGGAGAAUAAGCUCCGGCUAACUCCGUGCCAGCCGCCGCGGUAA